rnacentral:rRNA from 1 species
GCAAGGAAUAUUGCGCAAUGGGCGAAAGCCUGACGCAGCGACGCCGCGUGGGCGACGAAGGCCUUCGGGUCGUAAAGCCCUUUUGCUGGGGAAGAGAAGGGACGGUACCCAGCGAAUAAGCCCCGGCUAACUACGUGCCAGCAGCCGCGGUAAUACGUAGGGGGCGAGCGUUGUCCGGAAUUACUGGGCGUAAAGAGCACGUAGGCGGUUCGUUAAGUCGGUUGUGAAAUCACCCGGCCCAACUGGGUGGGGUCAGCCGAUACUGGCGGGCUUGAGGGAGGCAGAGGGAAGCGGAAUUCCCGGAGUAGUGGUGAAAUGCGUAGAUACCGGGAGGAACACCAGUGGCGAAGGCGGCUUCCUGGGCUUCAACUGACGCUGAGGUGCGAAGGCGUGGGGAGCGAACCGGAUUAGAUACCCUAGUAGUCC